GUCCUUUUGUUAUUUAUUUAAGGUCUAGUCUGCCCAAUGAGGAAUUAAAUGGCCGCAGUAUUUUAACUGUGCUAAGGUAGCAUAAUCAUUUGUCUUUUAAUUGAGGGCUGGAAUGAAAGGCUGGACGAGGCAUUAACUUUCUUUGAUUUAAGUAUAAGAACUUAAUUUUUGAGUUAAAAAGCUUAAAUUUAUUUGUUGGACGAGAGAGACCCUAUAGAUCUUUAUAAUUUUAUAUUUUAGUAAUUUAGGGAUUCAAUUAGCUUGGAGUUGAGGAAUUAUUUUGUUGGGGUGACUUUAGAAUUUGAAGAACUUCUAUUUGUUUAAUUCAUUUAUUAAUGUCUUUUUGAUCCAUUUUUUAUGAUUAUAAGAUUAAGUUACCUUAGGGAUAACAGCGUAAUUUUUCCGGAGAGUUCAUAUUGAUGGAGGAGUUUGCGACCUCGAUGUUGGAUUAAAAUAAGUUAUGGAUGCAGAAGUCUAUUUACUAGGUCUGUUCGACCUUUGAAUUUUU
rnacentral:rRNA from 1 species